UAGGGAAUCUUCCACAAUGGACGAAAGUCUGAUGGAGCAACGCCGCGUGAGUGAAGAAGGGUUUCGGCUCGUAAAACUCUGUUGUUAAAAGAAGAAUAUAUCUGAGAGUAACUGUUCAGGUAUUGACGGUAUUUAACCAGAAAGCCACGGCUAACUACGUGCCAGCAGCCGCGGUAAUACGUAGGUGGCAAGCGUUGUCCGGAUUUAUUGGGCGUAAAGCGAGCGCAGGCGGUUUUUUAAGUCUGAUGUGAAAGCCUUCGGCUCAACCGAAGAAGUGCAUCGGAAACUGGGAAACUUGAGUGCAGAAGAGGACAGUGGAACUCCAUGUGUAGCGGUGAAAUGCGUAGAUAUAUGGAAGAACACCAGUGGCGAAGGCGGCUGUCUGGUCUGUAACUGACGCUGAGGCUCGAAAGUAUGGGUAGCAAACAGGAUUAGAUACCCUGGUAGUCCAUACCGUAAACGAUGAAUGCUAAGUGUUGGAGGGUUUCCGCCCUUCAGUGCUGCAGCUAACGCAUUAAGCAUUCCGCCUGGGGGAGUACGGCCGCAAGGCUGAAAC
rnacentral:rRNA from 1 species